GACGAACGCUGGCGGCGUGCCUAAUACAUGCAAGUAGAACGCUGAAGGAGGAGCUUGCUCUUCUGGAUGAGUUGCGAACGGGUGAGUAACGCGUAGGUAACCUGCCUGGUAGCGGGGGAUAACUAUUGGAAACGAUAGCUAAUACCGCAUAAGAGUAGAUGUUGCAUGACAUUUACUUAAAAGGUGCAAUUGCAUUACUACCAGAUGGACCUGCGUUGUAUUAGCUAGUUGGUGGGGUAACGGCUUACCAAGGCGACGAUACAUAGCCGACCUGAGAGGGUGAUCGGCCACACUGGGACUGAGACACGGCCCAGACUCCUACGGGAGGCAGCAGUAGGGAAUCUUCGGCAAUGGACGGAAGUCUGACCGAGCAACGCCGCGUGAGUGAAGAAGGUUUUCGGAUCGUAAAGCUCUGUUGUAAGAGAAGAACGAGUGUGAGAGUGGAAAGUUCACACUGUGACGGUAGCUUACCAGAAAGGGACGGCUAACUACGUG
rnacentral:rRNA from 1 species